rnacentral:lncRNA from 1 species
CACAAUCUUAAAGAAAAAAAAGAAAAAGAAAAAAGAGGAGGUGACAUAGAUCUUGACCACACAUUGAGAGAGCGGGCCCACGUGGAUAGAUCUACGAUGGUGAGGUCAGCUGAUAAGACUCGACCACGUCAGCCCACAAGAGGGACCACUCAUCUCCUGCACUGCCAUUUUGAUUCUCUGUGACUGCAAUAAAUAAUUUUGUAAAAUCUUAAUUUAUGAUAAUUUAUACUCCGUUAAAAUAUCAAUUUCAAAUUGAA